rnacentral:rRNA from 2 species
CGUUGAGCUAACCGAUACUAAUGAACCGUGAGGCUUAACCUUACAACGCCGAAG